rnacentral:rRNA from 1 species
GAUGAACGCUGGCGGCGUGCCUAACACAUGCAAGUCGAACGGAGAUUACGGACGGAAGUUUUCGGAUGGAAGCCUGUAAUUCUUAGUGGCGGACGGGUGAGUAACGCGUGGGCAACCUGCCCUAUACAGGGGGAUAGCAGCUGGAAACGGCUGGUAAGACCGCAUAAGUCGGUUAAAUCGCAUGAUUUGAUCGGGAAAUGAGCAAUCAGGUAUAGGAUGGGCCCGCGUCCGAUUAGCCAGUUGGCAGGGUAAAAGCCUACCAAAGCGACGAUCGGUAGCCGGACUGAGAGGUCGGACGGCCACAUUGGGACUGAGACACGGCCCACACUCCUACGGGAGGCAGCAGUGGGGGAUAUUGCACAAUGGAGGAAACUCUGAUGCAGCGACGCCGCGUGAGUGAAGAAGUAUUUCGGUAUGUAAAGCUCUAUCAGCAGGGAAGAUGAUGACGGUACCUGACUAAGAAGCCCCGGCUAACUACGUG